rnacentral:rRNA from 1 species
AUGAAUCUUAGAAACUUCUCAAGGGUUGUUCAAAAGGAAUGGCACAUGACACCAACUAGGUCCAAGCUUCAGAGGGCAAGAAGGCUGGCUAUGAAAAUAAUUCAUGGAGAUGAAGAAGGGCAGUACAAGCUGUUGUGGGAUUAUGGAAAUGAGAUAAGGAGAAGUAAUCCUGGUAGCUCAUUUUUCCUUGCACUGGAUAAUGAAGCUAGAUUCAACAAGGCCUACAUGUGCCUUGAUGCAUGCAAGAGAGGCUAUCUUCAAGGUUGCAGGCCUAUGAUCUUCAUAGAUGGCUGCCAUAUUAAAACAAGAUAC